rnacentral:tRNA from 1 species
UUGUUUUUGUAGUUGAAUGACAACGAUGGUUUUUCAGACCGUUGGUCUUGGUUAAAAUCCGAGCUAGAAUAU